rnacentral:rRNA from 1 species
AGAGUUUGAUCCUGGCUCAGAUUGAACGCUGGCGGCGUGCCUAACACAUGCAAGUCGAACGGCAGCACGGGGGCAACCCUGGUGGCGAGUGGCGAACGGGUGAGUAAUAGAUAGGAACGUGUCCGAGAGUGGGGGAUAACUAGCCGAAAGGAUAGCUAAUACCGCAUAUUCUCCAAGGAGGAAAGCGGGGGACCAGUAAUGGCCUCGCGCUCACGGAGUGGCCUAUCUCCGAUUAGCUAGUUGGUGAGGUAAAGGCUUACCAAGGCGACGAUCGGUAGCUGGUCUGAGAGGAUGAUCAGCCACACUGGGACUGAGACACGGCCCAGACUCCUACGGGAGGCAGCAGUGGGGAAUUUUGGACAAUGGGGGCAACCCUGAUCCAGCCAUUCCGCGUGAGUGAAGAAGGCCUUCGGGUUGUAAACCUCUUUCAGCAGGGACGAAGCGCAAGUGACGGUACCUGCAGAAGAAGCGCCGGCCAACUACGUGCCAGCAGCCGCGGUAAGACGUAGGGCGCGAGCGUUGUCCGGAUUUAUUGGGCGUAAAGAGCUCGUAGGCGGCUUGUCGCGUCGACUGUGAAAACCCGCGGCUCAACCGCGGGCCUGCAGCCGAUACGGGCAGGCUAGAGUUCGGUAGGGGAGACUGGAAUUCCUGGUGUAGCGGUGAAAUGCGCAGAUAUCAGGAGGAACACCGAUGGCGAAGGCAGGUCUCUGGGCCGAUACUGACGCUGAGGAGCGAAAGCGUGGGGAGCGAACAGGAUUAGAUACCCUGGUAG